CCUACGGGUGGCAGCAGUGAGGAAUAUUGGUCAAUGGGCGCGAGCCUGAACCAGCAAAGCCGCGUGAAGGAAGACGGUCCUAUGGAUUUUAAACCUUUUUUGUCGGGGAGCAAAAGACGCCACGCGUGGCGUUCCGAGAGUACCCGAACAAAAAGCAUCGGCAAACUCCGUGCCAGAAGCCGCGGUAAUACGGAGGAUGCGAGCGUUGUCCGGAUUGAUGGGGGUGAAAGGGUGUGUAGUCGGAUGCUUAAGUCAGUGGUAAAAUUGCGGGGCUCAACCUCGUAGUGCCGUUGAAACUGGGUGCCUAGAGUGGGCGAGAGGUACGCGGAAUGCGUGGUGUAGCGGUGAAAUGCAUAGAUAUCACGCAGAACUCCGAUUGCGAAGGCAGCGUACCGGCGCCCAACUGACGCUGAAGCACGAAGGCGUGGGGAGCGAACAGGAUUAGAUACCCUGGUAGUC
rnacentral:rRNA from 1 species